rnacentral:rRNA from 1 species
GCCCUGGAACGGGUUCGCCCCGAGAGAGGGGCCCGUGCCUUGGAAAGCGUCGCGGUUCCGGCGGCGUCCGGUGAGCUCUCGCUGGCCCGUGAAAAUCCGGGGGAGAGGGUGUAAAUCUCGCGCCGGGCCGUACCCAUAUCCGCAGCAGGUCUCCAAGGUCAAUAGCCUCUAGUCGAUAGAAUAAUGUAGGUAAGGGAAGUCGGCAAAUUCGAUCCGUAACUUCGGGAUAAGGAUUGGCUCUGAGGAUCGGGGCGUGUCGGGCUCGAAAGGAAAGCGGUCGGCUGCUCGUGGGACUGGGCUGUAGCGGUAAAACGCCGAGCUCGGUCCCGUCUUGUGGUAUCACCCGUGGAACUUUCGUUGCUAUUGAGGGCCCGUUGUUUCGGUCCACGCAAGUGGAUUGGACGCGGGAUCACCCUCGUCGGCCGCCAUUUAACGAUUAACUCAGAACUGGCACGGACCCGGGGAAUCCGACUGUCUAAUUAAAACAAAGCAUUGCGAAGGCCCUAGCGGGUGUUGACGCAAUGUGAUUUCUGCCCAGUGCUGUGAAUGUCAAUAUGAAGAAAUUCAAGAAAGCCCCAGUAAACGGCGGGAGUAACUAUGACUCUCUUAAGGU